AUGAAAGCUCUGUAGACCCCCGGGGCUUCUAGGCGCUGUCAGGAUUCACUGCGCUCUCCCCAGGUUUUCUCGUUGGACAUGAGGCACCAGGAGAAUGGGGACUUUGUGAUCUCGAAUCUCUGCAGUCGGUUCUGAGGGCAGAUGACGCUGAUUCUAACAUCAGCGUUUAAUAGGCUGACUCUCCACUGUGCAGCAGUCACCACUUUUAUGGCUUCUGAGUGUAGGGUUUUGCUUAUAGAAAUGGACUCUUCAAAGGCAACAAGAGAGACGCAUCAAGACUCUGACUUAACGCACGACUUGAAAGUGUCUCUUCACGCACGACGGUGACAGUUUUAAUUCCCUAGAGGCAAGGAGGAUUCUCAGCGGGAUUGCUCCUUUGCUCUCUCCCAUUCGGCCUGGACUGCAGAACGCCGGCGCAGAGUGAAAGCUAACUACAUUUUAGUAUCCAGAGGAACUGUCUUCUUAACUUCAUGGAUUUCAAAGGCUUCGUGAAUUAUGGAUUUCAGGGCCAUUCUUCCAGAGGAAUAAAGGGAGGAGAGUUUGUCCUCUACUUUUUGCAUUCCGUUGGUCAAAAUUUGUCCCAGAACUGCUCAUAGUUACAGGAUAAGAGGAUCUUUUCUGGGCCCUGAAUUUUAUAGGGUCCACACCAUUUGCAUCCUCCCCUGAUCACAUCUUCACCAAAAGUUGAGAAAUUUAUGGUACUUAGGGCACUUGACCACCUAGAAUGCUUGCCAUGUAGAAUGCAUGCCUACCUUUUCAUUUUUAUUUAUUUUUUAAAAAGAUUUUAUUUAUUUAUUCAUGAGAGACACACAGAAAGAGGCAGAGGCACAGGCAGAGGGAGAAGCAGGCUCCCUGCUGGGAGCCCAAUGCGGGAUUUGAUCCCAGGAUCCCUGGAUCAUGACCUGAGCUGAAGGCAGAUGCUCAACCACUGAGCUACCCCACAGGUGCCCCACAUGCCUACCUUUUUAGACCACAUUUUGGGUACUUGGAUCCCUGUAAUUCUCUGCUCUAAUAGCUCCAAGAAUUCUCCUAAGGCUUUCACAGGUCUCUUCUAGUCUGUUCUGGAGUUAGGGAUAGUGUCUGGAUAGAGUCUUCACAUCUGACUUUGAGAAUUGGCCGAGAAGCAGCUAUUGGUAGGGUGUGUGGACCAAGCUUCAGUGUGUGAUUUGGGUGUUCAUACAGGUAAUAUAUGACACCACCAGUUGUAGUGUAGGACCAAGGCAACUGUAGAGAAAGAAGGGGAGGGGGUCAUGACUGUGGACUAAGUCUCACUGUUUUUAUGUUAUGGUGGUUCAAAAUUCAAAAAAUAUACAAAUUCUUUGGUAUUUCUCCAUUCUCCCUUUUAGUCGAUGGGUUGUGGAAGAAGUGAUGGUAUGUGGCUUCUAAGAUCAAUACCUAAAAUGCAGUGUAGCUUCUUCCCAACUCCUUUCUUGGAUCGCCUACUCAGGGAGAAGCCCUACUAUGCUACGAGAACACUCAGGUAGCCCAAUGGCAAAGAGACGGAGUUCUCUUGCCAAAACCCAGCAAAGGCAACGAGAACGUCUGCUAAUCCCCGUGAGCGCGCCCGUCUUCCCAGUGUCUCCUCCAGGCCCGUCUGGCCGUCAGAGAGUGGCAUCUCUGGCUGACACCACGACUACAACCUCAUGACACACCUGAGCCAGCACCACUUGCCUGUGCCACCUCUGAAUUUCUCAUCCAUAGUGAGAGAUAAUAAAUGUUUGUUGUAAGCUAACUUUGGGGCAAUGUGUUAUGAAAGCCAA